rnacentral:rRNA from 1 species
GACGGAGGGUGCAAGCGUUGCUCGGAAUCAUUGGGCGUAAAGGGUGCGUAGGCGGCUUCUUAAGUCUGACGUGAAAGCCCAGGGCUUAGCCUUGGAAGGGCGCCAGAAACUGAGAGGCUCGAGUGCCGGAGGGGAGAGUGGAAUUCCAGGUGUAGCGGUGAAAUGCGUAGAUAUCUGGAGGAACACCGGUGGCGAAGGCGGCAUCCUGGACCGGCAUUGACGCUGAGGAGCGAAAGCCAGGGGAGCAAACGGG